rnacentral:piRNA from 1 species
GAGUUAUUUGCGGAUGGUGAGCUGAG